AAUAUAUGACGCCGUUAACUUUUUUAACCAAUGUUUGACCAUUCGUCUUAUUCAAAAAAUUUAUGUAAUUAUUAUUUAUUUUAUUGUGAUUUGAUUUAUCAUUAAAUGCUUUUUAAGCGUGUAUGAAUAUUUUUAUAUUUGCACAUAAAUUUUAAAUAAGAUGAAUGAUUAAAUAUUGGUAAAAAAAUCAACGGCGUCAUACAUU
rfam:Oryza nivara chromosome 4, whole genome shotgun sequence.